rnacentral:rRNA from 1 species
ACUGAGUGGCUAAGCGAAAGUGAUAAGUAUCCCACCUGGGGAGUACGAACGCAAGUUUGAAACUCAAAGGAAUUGACGGGGGCCCGCACAACGGUGGAGCAUGUGGUUUAAUUCGAUGAUACGCGAGGAACCUUACCAGGGCUUAAAUGUAGUAUGACAGGUUUGGAAACAGACUUUUCUUCGGACAUAUUACAAGGUGCUGCAUGGUUGUCGUCAGCUCGUGCCGUGAGGUGUCAGGUUAAGUCCUAUAACGAGCGCAACCCCUGUUGUUAGUUGCCAGCGAGUAUGUCGGGAACUCUAACAAGACUGCCGGUGUAAACCGUGAGGAAGGUGGGGAUGACGUCAAAUCAUCACGGCCCUUACGUCCUGGGCUACACACGUGCUACAAUGGCAGGUACAGAGAGCAGCCACUUCGCAAGGAGGAGCGAAUCUAUAAAGCCUGUCUCAGUCGGAUUGGAGUCUGCAACCCGACUCCAUGAAGCUGGAAUCGCUAGUAA